rnacentral:rRNA from 1 species
AGUUCGAUCCUGGCUCAGGAUGAACGCUGGCGGCAUGCCUAAUACAUGCAAGUCGAACGGAGUGAAGCCUUCGGGUUUCAUUCAGUGGCGAACGGGUGAGUAAUACGCAGGGAACCUGGCCAUGGCAGGGGGAUACACUCUGGAAACGGAGCAUAAGACCCCAUAGGCAGUAAGGCGGCAUCGCCUUACUGUUAAAGAAAGCUGAAAGGCUUUGGCGAUGGAUGGACCUGCGGUGCAUUAGCUUGUUGGUGAGGCAACGGCUUACCAAGGCGAUGAUGCAUAGCCGGCCUGAGAGGGCGGACGGCCACACUGGGACUGAGACACGGCCCAGACUCCUGCGGGAGGCAGCAGUAGGGAAUUUUCGUCAAUGGGCGCAAGCCUGAACGAGCAAUGCCGCGUGAGUGAGGAAGGUCUUCGGACUGUAAAGCUCUGUUGCCGGGGAAAAAGGGGAAAUGCAGGAAAUGGCAUUUCAUGGAUGGUACCCGGCCAGAAAGCCACGGCUAACUACGUGCCAGCAGCCGCGGUAAUACGUAGGUGGCGAGCGUUAUCCGGAAUGAUUGGGCGUAAAGGGUGCGCAGGCGGUCUGUUAAGUCUGAAGGCAAAGGGAUGAGCUCAACUCAUUUAUGAUUCAGAAACUGGCAGACUUGAGGACAGGAGAGGGCGGUGGAACUCCAUGUGUAGCGGUAAAAUGCGCAGAGAUAUGGAAGAACACCAGUGGCGAAGGCGGCCGCCUGGCCUGUGACUGACGCUGAGGCACGAAAGCGUGGGGAGCAAAUAGGAUUAGAUACCCUAGUAGUCCACGCCGUAAACGAUGAGGAGCAGGUGUUGGGAGUGAAAUCUCAGUGCCGAAGCCAACGCAGUGACUCCUCCGCCUGGGGAGUAUGCACGCAAGUGUGAAACUCAAAGGAAUUGACGGGGGCCCGCACAAGCGGUGGAGUAUGUGGUUUAAUUCGAAGCAACGCGAAGAACCUUACCAGGUUUUGACAUCGGAUGCGAAGGCGCAGAGAUGCGCUGGAGGCUAUCAUCCAGACAGGUGGUGCAUGGUUGUCGUCAGCUCGUGUCGUGAGAUGUUCAGUUAAGUCUGGCAACGAGCGCAACCCCCGUGGUAUGUUACUAACGCAUUUGGGCGAGGACUCAUAUCAGACUGCCGGUGACAAACCGGAGGAAGGCGGGGAUGACGUCAAAUCAUCAUGCCCCUUAUGACCUGGGCUACACACGUACUACAAUGGCGUCUACAGAGGGAAGCGACCCUGAGAAGGGAAGCGAAACCGGAAAAGGGCGUCCCAGUUCGGAUUGAAGUCUGCAACCCGACUUCAUGAAGAUGGAAUCGCUAGUAAUCGCGGAUCAGCAUGCCGCGGUGAAUACGUUCCCGGGCCUUGUACACACCGCCCGUCAAACCAUGGAAGCCGGCAACGCCCGAAGCCGGUGGCAUAACCUUUUAGGAGUGAGCCGUCGAAGGCGGGGCCGAUGACUGGGGUUAAGUCGUAACAAGGUACCC